CAGCCGCCGCGGGAACACGUAGGGUGCAAGCGUUAAUCGGAAUUACUGGGCGUAAAGCGUGCGCAGGCGGUUAUAUAAGACAGAUGUGAAAUCCCCGGGCUCAACCUGGGAACUGCAUUUGUGACUGUAUAGCUAGAGUACGGCAGAGGGGGAUGGAAUUCCGCGUGUAGCAGUGAAAUGCGUAGAUAUGCGGAGGAACACCGAUGGCGAAGGCAAUCCCCUGGGCCUGUACUGACGCUCAUGCACGAAAGCGUGGGGAGCAAACAGGAUUAGAUACCCCUGUAGUCCUGUCUCUUAUACA
rnacentral:rRNA from 1 species